rnacentral:tRNA from 1 species
GGGGCCGUCGUCUAGCUUGGUAGGAUGCCAGCCUGGGGACGCACCCCGCCGCCCCCGGCGCGGGGGCGGGCGCCAGAGCGCUGGUGGUCCCGGGUUCAAAUCCCGGCGGCCCCA